AACGAACGCUGGCGGCGGGCCUCAUACAUGCAAGUCGAGCGCGAAAGUCCGCAAGGAUGAGUAAAGCGGCGCACGGGUGAGUAACACGUGGAUAAUCUACCCUUUGGAUUGGAAUAACCUGUCGAAAGACGGGCUAAUGCCGAGUAAGCUCUCGGGAGCGUGAAGCUCUUGCGAGGAAAGAUGGCGCAAGCUAUCGCCGAUGGAUGAGUCUGCGUCCCAUUAGUUAGUUGGUGAGGUAACAGCUUACCAAGACGAUGAUGGGUACCUGGUCUGAGAGGAUGAUCAGGCACACUGGAACUGAAACACGGUCCAGACUCCUACGGGAGGCAGCAGUAGGGAAUAUUGCGCAAUGGACGAAAGUCUGACGCAGCCACGCCGCGUGAGUGAGGAAGGCCUUCGGGUUGUAAAGCUCUGUCAUCCGGGAAAAACGGCUAUCUGGGGAAAGUUCAGGUAGCGUGAUGGUACCGGAGGAGGAAGCACCGGCAAACUCUGUGCCAGCAGCCGCGGUAAUACAGAGGGUGCAAGCGUUGUUCGGAAUUACUGGGCGUAAAGCGUGCGUAGUCGGUAUUGAGAGUCACGGGUGAAAUCCCAGGGCUUAACCCUGGAACUGCCUGUGAGACCUC
rnacentral:rRNA from 1 species